CUGUUUGAGAGAGAGAAUCAGGAUUCACAUAUGUAAAUAUGCUUCUUUAUCAGGCUCCCAUAUAUGACUGUGGCACCCUGUUGAGAUUUCCUUCAGUCUUCCAUUUCUUUGGUUUUUCCUUCUUUAGCCAUUUGUGUCUGGUAGCAUCUUUAUAGGCUAACAGAUUGCAGAUAUAUUGCUGCAUCCAAACUUCUUUUUAGAAAGGAAAGGAUCAAUACUGCAGUAUGAUCUCACAUGGGCUUACCCCUCACUUCAUCACCUGUUUAUAGGGUGGUGACUUGGGUAGAUUACUAAGCAGUUGCUGUGAAACAAGUAGUACAGGGGAUUUUCUGUAUUAUGUUUUAUCUCACGUUUGAAAAAAUGACUCCCAGAGGAAUGUUAUUGCUGUAAGAUGUGUCAGCUCACACAGUGCCAGAUAAACAGCUCACUCUAUGGAAACAGCCUUAAGGCAAACACAAUUCAUAAAUACAAGCCUUGUACUUUGGACAAACAAAUCCAGCUCUGGGACCAGGAAAAAGCUCACCCUGUCCAUGGGAGACCAUCUGUGUUCAAGCAGGUAGAGUCCUCUCUCCUUGCCUUUUCUGGCUCCUGCAGAAGUUUCCCUCAACUUACACUGAUGGAAGAAGGCUUAAGAGAGAGAUCAAACUGAACAGUUUCUGCUUUUUAUAAUCUUCCAGCACCUCUAUCAGAUGACCUCCCGAUCAGCCUCCUCAGGUGAACAGAGACCCCUACCUGGCAUGAUGUAAAACGCCACUGUGUAAGGAAAUGGACUAAAUGGACCAGUAGAAGAGUGUUACAGGCUAUGAAAUGGAAGUAUUUCA